AGGACGAACGCUGGCGGCGUGCCUAACACAUGCAAGUCGAACGAGGCCCAUGCAGUGGCAACACUGCGGAAGGCCUAGUGGCGAACGGGUGAGUAACACGUGAGGAACUUGCCCCGGAGACCGGGAUAACUCUCCGAAAAGGAGGGCUAAUACCGGAUGUCCUCACCGAAUCGCAUGGUUUGGUGAGGAAAUGGAUUCCGCUCCGGGAGAGCCUCGCGGCCUAUCAGCUAGUUGGUGGGGUAACGGCCCACCAAGGCAUCGACGGGUAGCUGGUCUGAGAGGACGAUCAGCCACACUGGGACUGAGACACGGCCCAGACUCCUACGGGAGGCAGCAG
rnacentral:rRNA from 1 species